GACGAACGCUGGCGGCGUGCUUAACACAUGCAAGUCGAACGGAAAGGCCCUGCUUUUGUGGGGUGCUCGAGUGGCGAACGGGUGAGUAACACGUGAGUAACCUGCCCUUGACUUUGGGAUAACUUCAGGAAACUGGGGCUAAUACCGGAUAGGAGCUCCUGCUGCAUGGUGGGGUGUGGAAAGUUUCGGCGGUUGGGGAUGGACUCGCGGCUUAUCAGCUUGUUGGUGGGGUAGUGGCUUACCAAGGCUUUGACGGGUAGCCGGCCUGAGAGGGUGACCGGCCACAUUGGGACUGGGAUACGGCCCAGACUCCUACGGGAGGCAGCAGUGGGGAAUAUUGCACAAUGGGCGGAAGCCUGAUGCAGCAACGCCGCGUGCGGGAUGACGGCCUUCGGGUUGUAAACCGCUUUCGCCUGUGACGAAGCGUGAGUGACGGUAAUGGGUAAAGAAGCACCGGCUAACUACGUG
rnacentral:rRNA from 1 species